rnacentral:rRNA from 1 species
AUGACGGAUGAAGAAACGUUGUUAGUGAGAACAUUGAGCUCAGCAAAACUGCCAACAAGAAAAAUAAUGGACAUACUAUCAUUUUUAAGGCAUGGCCCGCUUCCAUACACGAAAAAAUAUGUGACGAAUGUGAGGGCAUCAAUCAGGAAAGAGAAUGAUGGCAAUGGUAUGAUGCAGCUGCUGGACUACUUCAGGACCAAGCAAGCAGAAGAUCCAAGAUACUACUACAAGUUUAAGGUUCAUCUGCAAAAACCAAGCAAAGUGCUCUGCAUUUUCUGGGCUAAUGGCUACUCGAGGAAAAUGCAUUCCUAG